ACUGGUGACAAGGCUGACUAGCUGCGGUGGAUGGUCCAGAGGGGGCUGGCAGGGGCGGGAUUCAGAAGAGAACAUUCAUUUUUCUCUCAUCCAGGAGCCUGAAUGAAGAGCAAUCUUUUUGUUUGUUACAGUGAUGGGUAAUUUGGAGCACUUCCCUUUGCAUGAAGAAAUUUGCUAUUCUAAUCAAAAUCUCGUCCCUUUCUACAAACCAUUAUAAGAUACUUAUGAAAAUAGGCAGAUUCAGAUUUCCUGUUUGAAUUUUUGUCAGCUUUCACUUUUAUGCUCAUUUGCAGAAUCACAUAACUAUGAAAGGCCAAUUAGCUCUAAGUCCCGGGAAAGUGACAGAAUAAAUUGCUUUCUUCCUAGCAAAUCAAGAAUAAUAUUGUGGGUGCAGUGCAAAAGUGUCCACCCAGAGAUUUUAGUUCAUUUUAUCAAUCUAAUAGAGUGCUUUCGGCCUGUCUUCUGUGACUCAUACUUCCAGUAUCCCCUUUCCUGUCAGAGCUCUUAUAUAACACUCCUCUACUUUUGUGCUGAGAUAGGAUAAAUCUGUAAAUUUGAGCCGUGUGUUGGUCAAGAUGCUUAAUGUGGAAUAGACCUCUCACCCCAGUCAAAAUUUAUUUAAGUCACAUCAAAGAAUUCAUAGAAUUCUUAUUAGCAGGGUUGACUGUAACCAAAUUGAUAUCCCUUAAUGUAGCACAGUGAGCACCCAAAAUAUUUUUCCAAAGAGAGUGGCUGGGAUGAUGUCACUAAUAAUUGCAAUAGAGAGGCAAAUAUGACUGGGAACCAGAGGACAAGUGCAGUUUCCAAAAUCAAGCCAUUUCAAAAGAACAGCAGAUUACAGCUUUUUAGGGGAACUGCUCCUCCUGGCCAGGCAUAUGUGAAAAUUGCUUCCUGUCUCCAAGUUUCUCUCUGUGGCUCUGCUAUAUUUUUUGAAUACUUCGCCCCCAAGUGGCCUAGAGCAACUCUACCAUGCCUGGGAAGCUCGGGGCACCCCAAAGGAAAGAAACACAAUUCUUCAAGCUUGAGAUGACCCCUGGGAACAAGGCUGCUGGAACAGAGGGCUUGCCCAUCACUAAUAGGACUAGGACUUAAGAGCUUACAGAUGCGACAGACUUAUAAUGGACUUUGGAGAUUAUCAUAGUCUACUGACCCAUGGAAGGAAGCAGGAUGUUGUUUUGACACUCAAUGAACAAACUACAAAUAAUUCUGUUGAAUCAAGUUUCCUAAAAGACGAGUGGUCUAAAGGAAACGGUGUAAAUUGUGAAUCUCAUCAUAGAACUUCCAUCAAGAUAGAAAGAUGAUCCUGGAUUAUCUGGGUGAUCCCAGUCUAAUCACAUGGCUUCUUAAAAGUGGAAGAAGAGGCAGAAGAGAGAACAAGAGGGACAAGAAGCUGAGAGGGACUUUAACUGACUUGGAAAGUGAUAUGAACAUGAAAAUUCCACCGAGCAAGAAUGCAGAUGGCUGUCAGAAGAUGGAAAGAGCAACAAAACAACUUCUUUCCUAGACCCUCCAGCUAGGACUGUGAGGUCACUGGACUAACAUACGGAAGUGUAAGAUAAUAAAUCUCUGCUGUUUUAAGCCAUCAAAAAUGUGAUCUUUUCCUAACAGCUACAGAAAACUAAUAUACAUACUUUUCCUAUAUCUACAUUAUUAUGGCAAUUUACUGGUUAAAUAGCUUAAACAAAUUAUUACAUGGUAGCCACCUGAAAAAUAGUCUCUGUUAAUGUCAUUUUAAAUACUAUUCUAUUAUUAUUUUAAUCAUGUACUUUAAUUCAAACAUAUUUUAAUGAAUAAUUUCUUCUAAAAUUAUACACUCCAUAGACAAUAUUUUCAUAAAAUCAUUUAUGCUUCUACCUUUUCAUGAUAGGUGGAGAUCUGACAGAAAACUUUACAGGCGAUUUCAGUGAAAAUGUAUUAAAGUACGUGGCAUUGAAAUGGCAUAAUAGUAUGCAAAGAAUUUUAUUUCAGAUCUUCAUGACAAAUAAAAAAUGACAGCCACAGCUGACCAGGACAAAUGAUGUUCAUGUUUUUCAGAUGUGAGGGAAAAAAAAGUCCAUUUACCUUUAAAGGCCACUUACUGUUCAUGUCUAUCACACCUGUAGUCUAAUUUAUUAAAGUUUUAAAGUUUGAAAACUCUAUAUAAGAUUUCAUGAAGAUCCUUGUUCUAUCUCAAAUUUGCCACAGUGUUGUUAUAAGGAAGGGACGUGUAUUUCGUAACUAAUCACUCUGGCACCUCUGCUGAGUAAACAUCAAGCAUUUUGGAAAAUUCCACAUAUCCCUCCUCUUCACUCAAAAGAGAAACUGAGACAGGAUCAAAACUGUUCCAGAUCAUUGAAGACUCUGGGUAGGAUGGGAAGUGAGCCUAUGUCGGAGAGCUCAAAGGCUCCCAUUUUCUGCUUUGCCUCACUGCAGUGUGUCUUCCGUGAAAUGCAUUCUUUCUCCAAGCUCUCAUGUAAUAGUCACACUGUUGUCUAUUCCCUUUUACUUUCCACUUCAAAACAGACAAAUAAGGACACGGAGGGAACAUAAGUGAGAAAUACUUCAAAGUCAGUUUUCUGCUUGUCAUGGCCUAAACUUGUCUUUCUCCAAUCCCAAGAGAGACUGGCUGGAAGACUGAGGUUUGACUUGAACACUUAAGAAUGUUCCGGAAGUGUGCUUUGUAGCAAUGCCCCUGAAGAAAAUGAAUGUUUCCUUCACGAGCCGCUGUGAAGCAAGGCAAUGCACACAGAGACGCAUCGUUCAUCUUCUUCUGGCUCGAGGGGCUUCUCCCACCAGCCUGUUUGACAUAUAAAAUUUCCACCUCACUUGGUGGUAAAGCUGCCUGCUGCUUCCUCUGUAUAGGGAAAAGUGGAGAGAGUUCUAUAAAGGUAAAGGAGUUGUGACUUCUGUAAAAGGAAAGUACAGAGAAUUGAGUGGGAAGGGACAUAAAAGAGGAGACACAAUUAAACUUAGAAUAAGUGGAAGAUGGUAAAAGAACUGAAAUCCUACCAAGAAAAGGAUCAUUGUGUAACCUCAUAGAUUUCAAGGACCAU